UACGUAGGGUCCGAGCGUUGUCCGGAAUUACUGGGCGUAAAGAGCUCGUAGGUGGUUUGUCGCGUUGUUCGUGAAAACUCACAGCUUAACUGUGGGCGUGCGGGCGAUACGGGCAGACUGGAGUACUGCAGGGGAGACUGGAAUUCCUGGUGUAGCGGUGGAAUGCGCAGAUAUCAGGAGGAACACCGGUGGCGAAGGCGGGUCUCUGGGCCUUACCUGACGCUGAGGAGCGAAAGCGUGGGUAGCGAACAGG
rnacentral:rRNA from 1 species